AAUGAACGUUGGCGGCGUGGAUUAGGCAUGCAAGUCGGACGCCCCGCAAGGGGAGUGGCGCAAGGGUGAGUAAGGCGACGGUAACCAACCCCGCGGUUGGGCAUAGCCGGGGGAAACCUCGGGUAAUUCCCAGCGACGUCGCGUCCCGGCAUCGGGAUGCGACCAAAGUUUCAACGCCGCGGGACGGGCCGUCGUGGUAUUAGCUAGUUGGUGGGGUGACGGCCCACCAAGGCGUCGAUGCCUACCGGGUGUGCGAGCAUGACCCGGCACACUGGGACUGAGACACUGCCCAGACUCCUACGGGAGGCUGCAGUCGAGAAUCUUCGGCAAUGGGCGCAAGCCUGACCGAGCGACGCCGCGUGGAGGACGAAGGCCUUCGGGUUGUAAACUCCUGUCGAGGGGGAGGAAGCCUUCGGGUUGACCGAUCCCUGGAGGAAGCACGGGCUAAGUUCGUGCCAGCCGCCGCCGUAAAAC
rnacentral:rRNA from 1 species